rnacentral:rRNA from 1 species
UACAGAGGUCCCAAGCGUUGUUCAGAUUCAUUGGGCGUAAAGGGUGCGUAGGCGGCGCUGUAAGUCGGGUGUGAAAUCUCGGAGCUUAACUCCGAAACUGCAUUCGAUACUGCCGUGCUUGAGGACUGGAGAGGAGACUGGAAUUUACGGUGUAGCGGUGAAAUGCGUAGAUAUCGUAAGGAAGACCAGUGGCGAAGGCGGGUCUCUGGACAGUCCCUGACGCUGAGGCACGAAGGCCAGGGGAGCAAACGGG